rnacentral:misc_RNA from 1 species
AAGAGAAAGAGAUCCAACUGGAGAGACAAUCUUUAUCUGAAAGGCAGAAAACUCUACAGCGGUCUCAAGAAGAGUUGCUUGAUGGUCAGGCUUUGCUCAAUAAGAGAGAAGAAUUUAUAUUUAGCAGAUCUCAAGAACUGAAUAGACGUGAGAAAGACUUAGAAGAUGAAAAAUCUAACUUCGAGAAUGACAUCAAAUCCCUGAAUGAGGAAAAGCGCAAUCUGGAGGUGAAACUGAAGUCUCUAUCAGCAAGAGAAGAAGGCAUAAUCAGAAGGGAACACGAACUUAACGAGAAAGAGAAAGAGCUACUGCUAUUACAGGGAAAAAUACAAAGCAAGGAGAUUGAUGGAAGUAAGCAGGUUAUGGUUAAUCAGGAGGCCACAUUGGUAACUAAGAUAUCUUCUAUCGAGGCAGAGUUGGAAACAAAACGGAAAUUGGUGGAAGAUGAGAUUCAAACCAAGAGGCGGGCUUGGGAAUUGAAAGAUAUGGAUAUUAAGUCUCGGGAGGACCUAAUUACUGACAAGGAAUAUGAUUUGGAGAGGCAGUCAAGAACCCUAGCUGAGAAGGAGAAAGAGUUGGAAGACAAGGUAUAUGUGAUUCAGGAAAAAGAAAGAAACCUCCAAAUUGCUGAAAAAGAGGUAGAGUUGCAGAGAACAGUUCUGCAGCAAGAAAGGGAAGGGAUCAGCAAAAUGAGAAAUGAUCUUGAGAAGUCUCUGAAAAUGCUGGAUGAAAAAAGAAAAAGUGUCGACCAUGAGGAAGAAAAAGUGGAGGCUAUGAAAAAUGAAACUCAAGAAUUACUGAUUCUGGAAACAAGGCUAAAGCUAGAGAUUGAUAUGAUUAGAGCGGAGAAGGAAGAAAUUGAGAAGGAGGCUGAUCGGUUGAAAGCUGAGAAAGCUAAAUUUGAGACUGAAUGGGAGGUAAUCGAUGAGAAAAGAGAAGAGUUGCAGAAGGAAGCUGAACGUGUGGCUGAAGAGAAAUUGGCCAUUUCUAAGCUUCUUAAGGAUAGCCGUGACAGCCUGAAAGCAGAGAAAAAUGCAAUUCAAGAAGAAUAUAAGCAAAAUCUGGAGUCACUUUCUCGUGAUCGUGAAACCUUCAUGUAUGAGAUUGAGAGUGAACGUGCAGAAUGGUUUAACAAAAUCCAGAAAGAACGCGAAAACUUUUUGCAGGAUGUUGAGAUGCAGAAAAAGGAGCUAGAGAACCGCAUUGAAGAAAGGCGUGAAGAAAUAGAAAUUGAUCUCAAGGAAAAGGAGAAGGCCUUUGAGGAACAUAAGAAAAGAGAACUUCAGGAUAUUGCAUCUCUCAGGGAGACUCUGGAAAAGGAAUUGGAACAUGUUGGCUUGGAGUUGAACAAACUAGAUGCCGAGAGAAAAGAGAUCAAUUUGGAUCGUGAGAGAAGGGAUAAGGAGUGGGCAGAGCUAAAUAAUGCUAUUGAAGAACUUAAGGUGCAAAGGCUGAAAUUAGAGAAACAAAGGGAAUUACUUCAUGCUGAUAGGAAGGAGAUUCUUGCUCAGAUUGAGCAGUUGAAGAAAUUGGAGGAUGUUAAGAUUAUACCAGAUCGUAUUGCCACACCCAAAAAGUUACAUUCUGGUCUACCAUCCAAUGAACUUGAACCUUCUGCAAAAAGAUUUUUGAAGUAUGCCUCCGUUCUGGGAUCUGGUCUGGAUGGGAAUGGUAAUAAUGGUGUUAGUAAAGGUACUUCUAUCAUGAAAGAGAACGGUAAUUCAUCUUCUACUCUCUCUACUCCAUUCUCGUGGCUUAAGAGAUGUGCUGAUACAUUGCUUGACCGAACACCAAGUAACAAAAGGCGGAGGGAAGAUGGGGAUUUUAUAUCUCAAUUGACCGAGAAUGGUGCCUCCUGUCCAUUACCACCAACACCAGAUGCACCAGAUGUUGAACACCUGGAAGUACUACCUAACCAAACUCACAUUGCUGCAGAGGAAACCACUGUGUAUAUUGAUAAGAUUGUUACAGUUCAUGAAGUGACAGAAAUCGAUGUGAGAAAAGUCACGGAAGGAAGUCCGGGGACUCUCUCUGGGGAUAGUGGUAGGAAGGUGGGGAACAAUGGAAGCUUGGAAUCGGAUCAAAAUGGGAAGCCUGAAGGCCGAGCCCGAAGAACUAGGGCAACAAGGAAGUAGUGAGAUUGCCAGAAGUGAGAAGAGUAGCGACUGAGCCUCUAAUUUCCUGUUUGUUUCUUCAUUUCAAACUUUCAGAAUUUUCAAGCUAAUGACUGAUCGUGACUGGUGGCAUGCCAUGUUUGGUGACCUUGUGAGUACUUCCCAAACAUGUAAAUGUCUCAGGCUAACUCAUACCCUUCAAGUAUAUUGUAAAUGGUAUGAAUAGGUACUCUUACUAGUUGUGAAUGUUUAGUGUUCAUCAAAGAGCUUGUGGUUGUAAGUAAAGAGCAUAUCAAAGUGGUUUGUGGUUUUGUCUGCUAAUUUCUUCAGCUUAUUGUAUUUAGGGCUGAAAGAUUUUGGUGAUUAUGUAGGGGAGUGAAUUUGAGUUCUUUGUGUAAGUUUCUAGACCGAGACGUUCUAUUAUUCCGUUGACUUAUUUCAUUCCAUGUUUGUAAUAGCUUACGAG